UUUUGUCAUAUGUCCUAUUCUAGAGAGAGCAGAGAGAACUUUCACACUCAACUGACAAGCAACAGUACAAAUGGUCCAGUUGAAAGCCAGAGAGGAAGGGAAUCCCCUGAUGUUGAAACCGGUCACCCUCUAAGGCAAGAGCAGAAUGGAAAAUGUGGAGAAUGGAUCAGAUGGAAUUCAGAUGGAGCACAGCAGGAGUGGCUGUUUCUGCCCGGAGCCAAAAUCAUUUGAAAGCUUAUUCCUUCUACAUCUGGGCUCGGACUGGGGAAAUUCGAAGACCAGAACUGCUGACUGAAGCAUUCAGUGGCUUCUUGGUGUGACCUGGACCAUGGUGGCCUCAGAGUAGUGAAACUUCUUCUACGGUAGUUCAGAACUCGUGUGUGAGUUCUAUCAAACAAGACAGCUGCCUUGC